GGAAGGAAGACAUGGAUGAGUGAAUGACGUCUGGGUGACAGUAAAGGUGACUGUGAAAGUGAAUGUCAUCCCAUUGGGGAUGGUGACGGAUUCCCUUUAGAGCCCCACGAGGGGUGAAGCCUGAGCUCAGAGGCCAUGGGACCGGCUCCGAAAAUGUCUUUGAACUCUGGGAGGAGGAAAGAAACCAUCCUUCACUCAGGACUAAGAGACACUCUGGAACAUUCCCAGGAAAGGACACUCAGGCAGGGCUAAGUGGCUUUGUGAUGCUGGCAGACCCCACAGGACCCCCUUCACCUCCUCAGUGGCAGCCCUGCUGAGUCAGGGCCUGAGUCAGCUUCCGCCUCCCGCCUGCCUCCCUGGGGGGAGGGGGGGUCUGCUCCGGGCUGCACUCUGGCAUCGCAGCACCGGCUGAGACCCGCAGCCCUGGGCGCCCGGCCACCCGCGCCGUUGCUCAGCGAGCUCUGUGUUGGAACUUGUACGUCUCUCAGCUCAGAUGUCCUUCCAGCCGCCUUCCCACGGUGGUGCCACAGCCCAUCAGAUUGACACACCGAUAAGUCAUCACCCCGGUGCUGGGGGGGCAGGGAAAAAACCUCUUGACGCCACACCCAGCACAGACAGCGCCACUGUCCCUCCCUUCCACCUGCAUCCGUCGACACCUCCCCCAGCACGCUCCUCAGCCGGCUUCAGUGGCGGGCUGCACUCUCCACCGAAAUGGCUCUUAUCAGCGUCAACGAGGAGCUCUAUCCUGCCAGAGCCAAGGUGGCCUCUGAUUCCAUCUCACGGCAUGUGAUGCAGCCCACACACCUCCUUCCGGAAGCUCCUGUCCUUGGGCCUGCACGCUCCCCAACCUGGCUGGGCACGCCUCCUCUGUGCAGUGGCUGCCCGGCUCCUAGCUGACCUUAACCACUCCCAGACUUCAAAGACCAGAACCCCCUGAGGUUUCCCAUGUCCAAAGCUUCAGCCCUGCCCCAGUCCCAAAGGCCAAGGCCCUGGGAUGUUUCUGCAGUGUCAGCCGCCCAGACAGCAGGAGGGGGCUGGGAGCCUGUGGAGGACGGCUGAGUGAGCUGCAACGAGGCCUCAGCCAUGAGAUUCCUCAUGCCCUGAGCUGCUGCUGUGCCGGGGGCGGCCGUCUGGCACGCGUCCACUCGUGGGCAGGCCUUCCCGCCUCCAGCCUCCUGUGGUUCCGCUUAUCUCCAGGGCAGAGGAAACCUGGGCGCCCUACUGGGAUCUCGAAUGCCUCCCGGACGUCCUAACCCGCCCCAUCAGGGCUUCUUGGAGUUGGGCCAGGGUACCAGCCAUUUCCGGACCAGGAGCCGCCCUCAUGACUUCUGACCUCUGACUCACACUUUGGCAUGAGACUGAACUUGCCAUUCAGGUCCCAGGGCAGAGACAGAUGUCAGCCCCUCAUGGUGUCACUCCCAGACCCCAGCCAGACUCCCCAAGUCAUCGGGACUUCUCAGUGCGUUAUUUCUGUUACCACCUGGAUCUGAGCCACUGUCAUCCCUCACCUGGGCCACUGCCCGUGUCCCCUAUAGUCCAUGCUCCCCACCCCCCAGCACCUGGAGAAUCCUUUUAAGACGUUCAGAUAAAUCCGCUCCUGGCAAGCCUCUCCCCCACCAUGGGCCCCUCCCCCAGCAACGGUCAGAAUUUUGGGUCAAUGGAAACCUGCUGUGACGGAAAAAAUGAUAAACUGAUGUUUUAAUUUUACUUUGUCUCAUUACUAAUGAGGUUACUUCUCUGUUUAAAAACUUUGCUCGUUUUUAAUUGGAUUUUUGUCUUUUUUUAUGUGUAGGAGCG
ensembl:lncRNA